UGCGAUACUAACAGAGAUGGUGGUGGCAGCUUUCGCAGAGGUAGCGAAGAGCGAACUUGCUCCCGAGUUUCAAGAGCGUGAAUAUCUUCCUCUUGAUGCCCCCUCUAACCGGCGGAAACCUCACCAGUCUUGCACCGCCCAUCGCCCUCUGCGUUGCGGCCGCGAGCCUCGGCCUCUCCACCUCCUCCAUCUUCACCUUCUACUUCCACGGGGGUAUCACUCUUUUGUGCGUGUGUGCGUGUGUAUGUGUGUGCAUGAAACAUCACUGCAUGGAGAAACAGAAAACUGUGGAGGGGAGGGAGGGAGGAACCUUCGUGUCACCUUCAUGCAGAGGGGUCUUGGGCAGACAGGGCCAAGCUGCGGCCACUUUUGGG
rnacentral:lncRNA from 1 species